UACAGCAAUAGCAGCUCUCCCAGCCUGUCCCAGCGACCUUGCUCUCACCCUGUGGCUGUCUAGGUUUUGCCCCAUUGCAGGCUGGCUAGGUGUUGCCCCGUUGAAGGCUAUCUAGGUGUCGACUUGUUGCAGGCUGGCUUGGUGUUGACCUGUUGUAGGCUGGCUUGGUGUUGACCUGUUGUAGGCUGGCUAGGUGUUGACUCUUUGCAGGCUGGCUAGGUGUUGUUGACCCAUUGCAGGCUGGCUAGGUGAUGUUGCCCCGCUGCAGGCCGGCUAGGUGUUGUUGCCCCGCUACAGGCCGGCUAGGUGUUGUUGACCCAUUGCAGGCUGGCUAGGUGUUGACCCACUACAGGCUGGCUAGGAGUUGACCCAUUGCAUGCUGGCUAGGUGUUGUUGGCCCAUUGCAUGCUGGCUAGGUGUUGUAGGCCCAUUGCAGGCAGGCUAGGUGUUGCAGGCAGGCUAGGUGUUGUUGCCCCAUUGCAGGCUGGCUUGGUGUUGUUGCCCCAUUGCAUGCUGGCUAGGUGUUGUUGCCCCAUUGCAUGCUGGCUAGGUGUUGUUGACUCAGUGCAUGCUGGCUAGGUGUUGUUGACUCAUUGCAUGCAGGCUAGGUGUUGCCCCAUUUCAGGCUGGCUAGGUGUUGUUGAUCCAUUGCAGGCUGGCUAGGUGUUGAUCCAUUGCAGGCUGGCUAGGUGUUGACCCAUGUCAGGCUGGCUAUGUGUUAUUCAGGCUGGCUAGGUGUUGGUGUUGUUCAGGCUGGCUAGGUGAUGACCCAUGGCUGGCUAGGUGUUAUUCAGGCUGGCUAGGUGAUGACCCAUGGCUGGCUAGGUGUUAUUCAGGCUGGCUAGGUGUUGUUGACCCAUUGCAGGCUGGCUAGGUGAUGUUGCCCCGCUGCAGGCCGGCUAGGUGUUGUUGCCCCGCUACAGGCCGGCUAGGUGUUGUUGACCCAUUGCAGGCUGGCUAGGUGUUGACCCACUACAGGCUGGCUAGGAGUUGACCCAUUGCAUGCUGGCUAGGUGUUGUUGGCCCAUUGCAUGCUGGCUAGGUGUUGUAGGCCCAUUGCAGGCAGGCUAGGUGUUGCAGG